CUGGAGGUAUCAGAAGUGCGAAUGCUGACAUAAGUAACGAUAAAGCGGGUGAAAAGCCCGCUCGCCGGAAGACCAAGGGUUCCUGUCCAACGUUAAUCGGGGCAGGGUGAGUCGACCCCUAAGGCGAGGCCGAAAGGCGUAGUCGAUGGGAAACAGGUUAAUAUUCCUGUACUUGGUGUUACUGCGAAGGGGGGACGGAGAAGGCUAUGUUGGCCGGGCGACGGUUGUCCCGGUUUAAGCGUGUAGGCUGGUUUUCCAGGCAAAUCCGGAAAAUCAAGGCUGAGGCGUGAUGACGAGGCACUACGGUGCUGAAGCAACAAAUGCCCUGCUUCCAGGAAAAGCCUCUAAGCAUCAGGUAACAUCAAAUCGUACCCCAAACCGACACAGGUGGUCAGGUAGAGAAUACCAAGGCGCUUGAGAGAACUCGGGUGAAGGAACUAGGCAAAAUGGUGCCGUAACUUCGGGAGAAGGCACGCUGAUAUGUAGGUGAAGUCCCUCGCGGAUGGAGCUGAAAUCAGUCGAAGAUACCAGCUGGC
rnacentral:rRNA from 1 species